CUAUGGACUGUAGACUUUGGGUUAAUACUGAAAUGAGUUAAGAUUUGGGGAGACUGUUGGGAAGGCAUGAUUGGUUUUGAAAUGUGAAAACGAGAUUUGGGAGGGACCAGGGACGGAAUGAUAUGGUUUGGCUGUGUUCGCACCCAAAUCUCAACUUGAAUUGUAACUCUCAGAAUUCCCACAUGUUGUGGGAGGGACCCAGUGGGAGGUAAUUGAAUUAUGGGGGUCAGUCUUUCCCAUCCUAGUCUCAUGAUAGUGAAUAAGUCUCAUGAGAUCUGAUGGGUUUAUCAGGGGUUUCCACUUUUGCUUCUUCCUUAUUUUUCUCUUGCUGCCACCAUGUAAGAAGUGCCUUGUGCCUCCUGCCAUGAUUCUGAGGCCUCCUCAGCCAUGUGGUACUCGUUUUCAAGAUCUAUUGUUGAUAAUAUAUAAUAUCUUACAAGUUAUUUAAUUCUCUAAUGUAUGGGAAGCAGCGUAGCAUCGUCCUUGCUGUUGCUAUGGUAUUUAUUGCUGUUGAGCCUUCAGGAAACCUCUCUGCAUCUCGGUUUCCUCAUCUAUAAAAUGGAGAUGAUAACUGUACUUACAUCAUGGAGCUGCUAUGAGGAUCAAAGAAGUUAUCAACACUUCAGAAUAUGGCCAGCACAUAGGAACAAUAUAUCUAUUUGCUAAAUCGAAGGAUAAAAAGAAACCUACUUUGUAUGGAAAAGGAGAAAGAAAAGAGUAAGAUUGAACUAUGCUUUGCUGCAUGGUGGGUUUGAUGAAAGUGGAGUCACGCUGAUUGGUGCUCAAGAUAAAUGUCUUAGGGGAAGACUCAUACCCAGUGGAAUUUUUUUUAGUGAAAUAUCGUGGCUCAUGGACUGUGAGAUUUGUCAUUUGUUUUCAAUAAAAUGAUAAAAAUCAUAAUUUAUUUUGUGAAAAAGAAUUUCUAAUGGAAGCAGGGAAAAGCAUA
rnacentral:lncRNA from 1 species